rnacentral:snRNA from 1 species
UUUUGGAUUUUACUAAAAUUGGAAUGAUACAGAGAAGAUUAGCAUGGUCCUUGCGCAAGGGUGACACACAAAUUCGUGCAGCACUCCAUAUUUGU